rnacentral:lncRNA from 1 species
UUAUUUCUGUAAAAGGCUUAGACUUAAGGGAUCGAUAAAAUAUAAAACGUCAAGUCUAGAAGGGUAUCCCCAUAAACCUUAAACCAGCUCAAGAACUGGCGAAGCAGAUGAAGAACACACCUCAAAAUGGUUUCCAUUGGUCAUUUCACCGAGUUUAGCUUCCAAGAUGCAUUUAUGUAUCCUCAUAAGCCCAGAGUCAUGGCAGUUGGUUGGAUGACUACUGCAGGGGCGGUGCCAGUGACAGAGGACGGAAUCAUCAUCUUCUCUGAGAUAUAAUUGUUGCCGAUCAAUGAGUAGACCGUGCUAGUACCCCAAUGACCAUGUCGGCUGUAGAUCGCAAGCAGAUGAAUCUAGUGAUGAUAAGGAAAACAAAGGAGCGCAAGGAGUAAGUUUAAAUUAAAAUUCACUUGAUCAAACCCUUGUGGUGGCGGAUUUCGGGAUGCAUGAAUGUAAACUUGUUCCAGUUUGGCAAUUGGGAUCAAAUUGAAGUUCUGAUUCACCAAGCAUAAACCUUCAAAAGGGCUGCUGGAAUUUGUGAGAUCCUAAAAUUGAAACCGGAUGAGAAUGUUUCUGCGGCUUGUCUAUUUUCUUGAUGCUGGAACGCAGUUUUAAUUUUCAUUCUGUUCUUCUAGGAAAAUGGAGACUCACAGCCUCCAGGACAUGGUAAGUUGUUUCUAGUUUCUAUUUUUGUCUCGUUUUUUCACUUAUAAAUUUAAAGUUGAUCAGUCAAAAAUAUCCAUUUCAGAACAAACUAGUUCUGGUCUUUUGGAAACUUAGUUUUUGUUUUUAUCUAAUAUAAGUUGCAUCUGUUAAUUAAUCACUAAAACUAACUGCCUUAAGCAGUAUUUAGGGAACUGAAAUUAAUUCAAUUUAUAGUUGAAAUAUUUCGUUGUGAAGAGCAAAGGCGUAGGCUGCGAAGGUUUAUUACUAAUCGUUUUAUCGUCUGUGUUCGUUUACCUGUGCAGUCAGGAAGUAAAUUUCCUUUGAAGACUUUCCAAUCUCACAAUUCACAAAUUCAAUUCAUCCAGUAUAAGGUUUAUGCUUGUACUUGAGCUCAGAAAUUCCGAUUAGAUCCGAACUGCCUAUAUGGAGAAGUUUUUAUAUGGAUAAAGUUUGUACCGUCAUCUCCAAAUCCACCACCCAAGGGUUUGAUCAGGUAAAUUUCAAUGCAAAUUUAUUUCUUGCUUUGCCUUCUUUUCCUUAUCACCACAGAAUCAUCUGCAUAUGAUCUAGUAUCGAAUGGCCAUUGAGAUAUCAGCAGCAACAAUUUCUCAGACCUGGCGAUUCUAUGUUUGCCACUAGCACUGCCCCACUACGGUCUUCCUACUAGCUGCUGUUAUCAGAGGCUUAUGAGGGAUUCAUCAGUGUUUCUAGGACAGCUUGAACUCGGUGAAUUGACCAACAGGAAUUAUUUU